AGACAAGAAGACGAGGAAUACGGAGAUUAAAAAGAAGAGCGGAGUGGGAGGAAAGGAAGAGAUGAUGAAAAAGAAAGAAGAAGAUAGCUAGUUACUGAAAUGAGGAACCGAGUAGCAAGUAGUUAUUAGCAAAUUGUAUAUAUUUCAUUCAAGUCGAGUAGAUAAUAGAGAGGGAAUGACUAAGUAAAUCAUAUGAUAGUGUCUAGGGGUGGGCAAACAGGUCUAGGAUCCGUGGGGCGGGACGGGUACAAUCGGUUCGAGAUGGGUAUGGGGUGGGACGGGGUAGUUCCAAAACUUUAGUAUCACAGGGCCCCAGACCAACCCAUUUUUAACAUACCAAAACAACACAUCUGAGAUAUUCGGAGCUCCAGCGUCCACCAUUUCUCUCAAUUUUCUAUAACUCUCUCUGUCCUUCAAACUUUCUCACAUGCCAUGGAAUCUCUGUGCUCAUUACCCUCAAAUUUCUCUUGGACUCGACACCCCAAAGGGAUCUUGCAAUCAAAGGGUAUAAACCCAUAUCCCUUGAUUGAUUUUGAAAAGGAACUGGAGACAGAAGGGAAAUCAGACCAGCAACAAUCAGAACUGUGCAGCAGUACCCAUUGAUUUUGAGUCUAAAAUAGAAAAGAUUUAUUGAUAUGCCUCGCAAGAGCGGUGAGGUUCAUCGUGGUGGUGUGCCUCAUUUCUUCAGUGCAGUGAAGCAGAGAAAGGGAGGUCGAGAAAGUUAAGAGUAUUGCCUUGUUUCUGUGUUUCUAAAUAAUCUAUUAGAAAAAAAAGAAGUAAUUGGACCCGUGGACCAGGCUUGAAUCGGCCCGUUUUAAACCGGUUGGGUUAGGUCUGGUUCUAAAACUCAAAUUCUUUGUACCCGCUCCGGCUCGUUCCGUUGUGGUUUAAAAUAGGUCCGGUCCCUUCAAAUUUGGGCCCGACCCGGCCCGUGCCCACUCCUAAUAGCGUCUAAGUAAAUCCCAUCAAUGGCCUAGAUAUACUUGCCAAAUAGGUUUGGAGGAAAAGAAAAAUAGAUAAACAUAUUGAAGAAACCGGUGGGAAAUGAUUUCGGCACUUUCCUUUGCCUCUUUGCACUUUUUUCUUCUUCUAACCUUUAGAUUAAAUAAAUAAAUAAAGAAUUAAGACAAAAACAAAGGGACGGGUGAAAAGAAAAAAACAAGAGUGAAAAAACCAUUUCCUGAAAUUGAAUCCGCACACAUAUUUAGGUCCAUGGUUUAUUUUCAAAAUCAUUGUUCUAGAUCCUUCCAAUUCAUAUUUUAAAGAGACCCAAGAUUGAGUUUGUUUGUGUACUACUACAAACAAGUCAGAUCUUGGGGCAAAGUUUUCGCCGAGAAAAAGAUAAUGGAUUGAGAGGCAGAUGAAGUGGAAGAUGGUUCUAGCUUUCCAUUGCCUUAUGUGAAAUCUUCAAAUAUCGAAUCGAUGAUUUACUAGAGUCCUUCUGUCCGGAGACCGAACAAGAGUUUUCUACCUAUGAAGACCUGAUGCGGCAUCUUCACUAUGCUAGAGCUGCAAAAGUUUCAAUAUGCCCACCUGAUUUCAAAAGCACCAUGCCGAAGAAAGUAGCAAGCUCUAAAGCUGGUCACGGGGUAAAGUCAAAAUUUGGAUCCUCUUGCCCAAAACGAAGGUGAAGGACACUCUAAGCUUCCAGUAAAAAGGUUGAAUAACCUUGACACAAGUCUUGAGUUGUAUAUUGCUAGGAGUUCCAAUUUUUGUUUACCUUUCGGUUGUGUUUUUUGGUUAAUAUGAACUUGGGAUACGUCCACAUUGUCAUGGGAUCUAAUCUACCAUCAUUUUGUGGUGGUUAAAACCUUGAAAUCUUUGUCAUUUAGUACUAUGGUCUAGUGAUUUUCUUUUCACUUGUAAGCGGAAUAUCUUAGGUUCGAAUAUUGUGAACAGUGAGUUCGAUACCAAUUUUUAUUCCUCCAACCUGUUAGUGUAAAUAUAUCUUUGUAUCAGAAAAAAAAA